GACGAACGCUGGCGGCGUGCUUAACACAUGCAAGUCGAACGGAAAGGCCCUUCUUGCAGGGUACUCGAGUGGCGAACGGGUGAGUAACACGUGGGUGAUCUGCCCUGCACUUCGGGAUAAGCCUGGGAAACUGGGUCUAAUACCGUAUAGGAGCCAUUUUUAGUGUGAUGGUUGGAAAGUUUUUUCGGUGUAGGAUGAGCUCGCGGCCUAUCAGCUUGUUGGUGGGGUAAUGGCCUACCAAGGCGGCGACGGGUAGCCGGCCUGAGAGGGUGGACGGCCACAUUGGGACUGAGAUACGGCCCAGAAUCCUACGGGAGGCAGCAGUGGGGAAUAUUGCACAAUGGGCGCAAGCCUGAUGCAGCGACGCCGCGUGGGGGAUGACGGCCUUCGGGUUGUAAACUCCUUUCGAUAGGGACGAAGCUUUUUGUGACGGUACCUAGAUAAGAAGCACCGGCUAACUACGUG
rnacentral:rRNA from 1 species